rnacentral:rRNA from 1 species
GACGAACGCUGGCGGCGUGCCUAAUACAUGCAAGUCGAACGCUGAAGGCGGAGCUUGCUUCUCUGGAUGAGUUGCGAACGGGUGAGUAACGCGUAGGUAACCUGCCUGGUAGCGGGGGAUAACUAUUGGAAACGAUAGCUAAUACCGCAUAAUAGCAGUUGUUGCAUGACAACUGUUUGAAAGGUGCAAUUGCUCCACUUCCAGAUGCACCUGCGUUGUAUUAGCUAGUUGGUGGGGUAACGGCUCACCAAGGCGAGGAUCCAUAGCCGAACGGAGAGGGGGGUCGGCCGCACUGAGAGGGUGACAGGGCCCAGAGGGCUAGAGGAGGCAGCAAGAGGGCAACGGGAGCAAGGGGCGGAAGACUUAGCGAGCUGCGCCGAGGGAGGGAGGAGGAUCGCCGGAUCGGAGAGCUCGGUUUUCAGGGAGGAAAGAGUGUGAGAGUGGAACGUUCAGAGUGUGACGGUAACGGAUAAGAAAGCAACGGCUAACUACGUG